GACGAACGCUGGCGGCAGGCCUAACACAUGCAAGUCGAGCGAGCGGCGGACGGGUGAGUAAUGUAUGGGGACUGCCCGAUAGAGGGGGAUAACUACCGGAAACGGUGGCUAAUACCGCAUACUAUCGGAUAACCCAUAUGGGAUUAGCUAGGAGGGGGGGUAAAGGCUCACCUAGGCGACGAUCUCUAGCUGGUCUGAGAGGUUGAUCGGCCGCAGUGGGACCGAGACACGGCACAGACUCCUACGGAGGCAGCAGUGGGGAAUAUUGGGCAAUGGGCGCAAGCCUGACCCAGCAACGCCGCGUGAAGGAAGACGGUCUUCGGAUUGUAAACUUCUUUAGACAGGGACGCGGUACCUGUAGAAUAAGCCCCGGCUAACUGCGUGCCAGCCGCCGCGGUAAUUC
rnacentral:rRNA from 1 species